GCAGCUUUUGCCCUAACAUUUUGCUCCCCUUCAUUAUUUUCUCUCUCGCAGUACACUCCUCCAUACUUCUCCUCCAGAAUUCAUCACCGGCCAGCUUCACCACCGGCCAGCAUCAACACCGGCUUAUCAGUCACUCUUCGUCGGCCGUUCUUCGCAGUCAAUCUUCGUCGGCCGUUCGUCGCAGCAGUAGCCCGAGUCUAGCUGCGUCCUCCUCUGCGUCAUCUUCACCGGCGACGAGGCUUCUGAUGAGGAAAUGUACGAUCUUGUCCGUGAAGGUGUAGUUACUUUUACUGGAGCUUUGGCGAAAUAUUUGGGAAAGGUGCUGUGAAUUUUUGUUUCUCCUCCAGUUAUUAUUUUUAUUAUUGUGAGAUUGGAUCUAAAAUUUUCUAUCUAACAAGACGACCUUAAAGUCCAUUCGGUUGUUGAGAAGUUGCUUGAUGUGCUCAAUACUCCCUCUGAAGUUGUGCAGAGGGUUGUCUCAUCUUGCUUGUCUCCACUAAUGUACGUCAUCUAAACAGGUAUCCAAAAUAUCGCCAACUUAGUGUUUCCUGUGGAUAAUUUUUUACUUGUGCAUAGCAAUUGGGCAUGGAUUUCUAGACCCUACAUGCAGGAUUUGAUGAGGUUUAAUAAGCCACCAAAACAUGGAUUAUGCUGACCCUAUUGCCGAAUGUGACCACCAGCUUGUCCUUACAUUGCUUGUGGCACAUUUUACACUUCUAUCGCAGUGUAAAUCAGCAGCAGAUCUGAUCAGCUUCUGAUCUGAUCAGUAGCAGAUCAGUCGCAGCAGAUCAGUAGCUGAUCAGAUCAAAAGCUGAUCAGAUCAGCAGCAGAUCAACAACUGAUCUGAGCAGUCUCUGAUCUGAUCAGCUACUGAUCUGCUGCUAUUGAUCUGCUGCUGAUCAAAUCAGUAGUAGUAGAUCAGCAACUGAUCUGAUCAAAACAUCGAAUCCUACGUAGGGGGUGGAUUUUAUAGGUGGGCUGUUUAUUGUUAUGCUUGUUACAAUGCUACCUCAACUCAAUCAUUGGUUAUUCUUGCUUGUUUUUGUAGUUGGGGUUGUUUGUAAUCUGGUUCUAGGGCUUGGUUCUGGUCAACCCAAGUCGACUUUGGCCAAGUUAUCGCUGUCAGUCAGUCUGGUCUGGUGUUGGCUUUUUCUGUAGUUCAGGUCAUAGGGAUAUGGGUGGGUUGCCAGUUCAGGUCUGCUUUGGAAUAGGUUAUAUUUCAAGUCUGCUUGGUCAACUUGUCCUAAGUUGCCUUUUGAUGUUUUUUUUACCUUCUUAAGAGCUUGCUAUUUAUAUUUGGUAUGCAUUCCAACUGAUCAGAAUAAUGUUUUAUUUGUUUUCAUUUCUAUACAUUAUUGAGUUGCAUAACUUAAAUGUUUGAAACCGUAUUGUAGCUGUUGUUGUUGUCAAGGCUCAUAUAUGUAGUUGCUGCUGUAAGGCUGCAAUGUUGUUGAGCUGCUGUAGGCUGUUCGUUGCAGUGGCCUUGGUUCUUCGUUGCCGUGUUCUUGUUACUGAUCUACCACUGAUCAGCAAGCAGAAAAAGAACACUGCCACAGCAGAGCCAACAACAGCAGCAAAGCCAUGGCAGAGCCACAACACAACCACAAUAGUUAGCAGUUGUUGUUGUUGUUGUUGUUGCUGCAUUUUGUUGCAGUUAUUGUGCUGUUGUUGCAGCAUGCAGUUGUUGUUGUGCUGCUGUUGCUUCAUGCUGUGGCAGUUAGCAGGCCCCAAAUCCUAGAGCUAUAGAAGAAAAAUAGAAUAAAAUGGGAGAAUAUACUGAAACUAAGCCUAGACUAGAUAAACUAAAAUAAGGGCAAGCAAGAUUUAGCUCCCAACUAUAAAAUAAUGAACCAAACUAGGUAUAAUAAAUGCUUUACAUGUGUACUAUACUAAUAUUAGGUUUUCAAUCCUCAUUAUCAUCUACUUUGGACAAUUUAUGCACAUUUAAGGCUCGUUUGAUUGUUGUAUGUCGUAUUUUCACUUAAAUGGUUGUUUUAGCUCCCAACUAUAAACUAAUGAACCAAACUAGGUAUAAUAAAUGCUUUACACGUUUAAUAUACUUAGUAUUAGGUUUUCAAUCCUCAUUAUCAUCUACUUUGGUCAAUUUAUGCACAUAUAAGGCUCGUUUGAUCGUUAUAUGUCAUAUUUUGACUUAAAUGGUCGUUUUCGCUCCUAACUCUCGACUAAUGAACCAAAAUAGGUACUAUAAAACCUUUGUAUGUUUAACAUACUUAUUAUUAGGUUUCCCAUACUCAUCUCAUCUACUUUAAUCAAAUUAUGCACAUUUAAGGCUCGUUUGAUCGUUUUAUGUCAUAUUUUGACUUAAAUGGUCGUUUUCGCUCCCAACUCUCAACUAAUUAACCAAAAUAGGUACUAUAAAACCUUUGCAUGUUUAACAUACUUAUUAUUAUAUUUCCAAUACUCAUAUCAUCUACUUUGAUCAAGUUAUGCACAUUUAAGGCUUGUUUGAUCGUUUUAUGUCAUAUUUUGACUAAAAUAUCUAUUUUCGCUCCCAACUCAUCUAAUGAACCAAAAUAGUUAUUAUUAACUCUUUACAUGUAUAAUAUUCUUAGUAUUACGUUGUCAAUCCUCAUUCUCAUCUAAUUUGGUCAAUUUAUGCACAUUUAAAGCUCAUUUGAUCGUUAUAUGUCAUAUUUUGACUAAAUAGCUAUUUUCGCUUCCAUCUCUCAACUAAUGAACCAAAAUAGUUAUUCUAAAUUCUUUACAUGUUUAAUAUACUUAGUAUUACGUUGCCAAUCCUCAUUCUCAUCUACUUUGGUCAAUUUAUGCACAUUUAAAGCUAGUUUGAUCGUUAUAUGUCAUAUUUUGACUAAAUAGCCAUUUUCGCUCCCAACUCUCAACUAAUGAACCAAAAUAGUUAUUCUAAACCCUUUACGUGUUUAAUAUACUUAGUAUUAGGUUUCCAAUCCUCAUUCUCAUCUACUUUUGUCAAUUUAUGCACAUGUAAGGUUCGUUUUGGUCGUUAUAGGUCAUAUGUAGCCUAAAAUGUUAUUUUCGCUCCCAACUUUUACAAAACGAACCUAAGUAAACAUUCUAAACCAUUUACAUGUUUAAUAUGAUUAGUUUAAGGUUUAUAAGACUCAUUCCAAGCUAUUUAUGCACAUCUAAAGCUCGUUUGGGUCGUUAUAGGUCAUAUGUAGCCUAAAAUGCCAUUUUUGCUCCCAACUUUAACAAAACGAACCAAAUGAAUCAAAAUAGGAAUUCUUAACCCUUUAGAUAUUUAAUAUACUUAGUGUUAGGUUGUCAAUACUCAUUCUCAUCUUCUUUGGUCAAGUUAUUCAUAUUUAAGGCUCAUUUAAUCGCUAUAAGACAUAUUUUGACUAUAAAAGCUGUUUCAUAUUUAAGGCCAAAACAAAUACAUUUCCUUAUCUAAUUUAUGUUCUCUUUAAUCUAGUGCGCCCAACCAGAGCAUAGGGUCGAGUGUGGCUAUUACGUGAUGAAAUUCAUGCACGACAUAUUCAAAAGUUGCAAGGAAAUUGAAGAUCUGGAAAAGGUUUUCAAAACUCCAAGGGAGGGGCCCUUUACCAAAGAGGAGUUGUAUGAAGUUCGAAACAAGUGGGCUAUUUACUUCAACGAUUGUGAACUACCCUCAGUGUAAUAAAUAGAGCAGGCUUGUAGUUAUUCGUGACUCUUACAUUAUUUUGUUAUUUAUCGAUUUAAUUAAUUACAUUUGAAUUAAUUCGGUAAUAUUAUUGGAAAUUUGAAAUUUAUAUCAUUUUUGAGGAAUGUCAAGCUGAUGUUUGACGAAACAGUAUUCUAUAAAUUAUAAUGCAGAAUUUUAUAUUGCAAAAUCAGAAA